CGUGCCUCUGGUGUACCGGUUAUGACGCCAGUCGUAUCGCCGGGUAGCUAAGCACGGAAGAGAUAAACGCUGAAAGCAUCUAAGCGUGAAACUUGCCUCAAGAUAAGAUAUCCCUUGUGACUUGAUCACACUGAAGGGUCGUUCGAGACCAGGACGUUGAUAGGCUGGGUGUGGAAGCGCAGUAAUGCGUUAAGCUAACCAGUACUAAUUGCCCGUGAGGCUUGAUCCUAUAA
rnacentral:rRNA from 1 species